UGCACGAAACCAGUUCACGUGCCACUCCCGUAAGGCGAUAGGUGUCGCGCAAACUUGCGAGAAUAGCUUGUCCUGCUGGAACUGUGGUGGGUCCACCUUGGUGGAAAAGCGCAUUUCGUCUCUCGCUCUGGCAGCGACGAGGCGGCAGCCCGAAAAGUGCUUCGAUUUACUGCGCGUCGCCUUCCGGAAUAUGUCGACGCACCUAAGGUAGACAGGGGCCGCAGAGAAGACGAGCGGCCGCCUGGUUCCACAAGGGCUGCAGGCCAGCAGAGUCACGGUAUCGGGCCUCCAGCAAUAGAAGCCGGUGCUCCCUCCCGCCAGUAUCGAGGGGCACUCGAGAAGGAGGAAUGGCAUCGCCGAGGGAACGCCGGGCGGAACAACCGCAGCCGCCAUCGCCACCGAUGGCGCCAAGGUCGUGGUGGUCGCUCUUGCCGAGAUUUUCCAUUGCACCCCGUUUGCGCAACCUGAUGAGGAAUCUACGUAUCCGGCGACGAGGCCUGCCCCGCCCUGUACCUGCGCCAGCGGUUGAGGGUUCUGCCAUGGUCGCUGCUUCACAAGGAACAUCAGCGGGCCCAGUAGCCUCUGAGCGUUCUAGUUUCCUUGGCCAAGUGUGGAAGCUGGUCACAUGCUUUUCAACACGCCAGAGAGGCAGUGCUCAAAGUUCAGUUGCAGAAAUUGAUGCGAUGUUGGCAGAGCCUGCCGAUUCCGACAGCAUCGGUGAAGAGAAAGCACCUGUAGAUUCCGGUCAAUGUCACAGUGGACCACAGGCCAGCGGCGUUCCAGGAACGGGGCAUGUUGACCCACUAGAUUUACCAGGACCUAGUGGUAUUGGUAACAUGGCAGCAAUGGAGGAGGUCAGUACGGACUACAACUGUAGUGAGUCAGACAGCAUGGCAACGACACACGGGUUAACACAGGACAGCAGUUCAGACAGCCCACUCCACAAACCUCAAGAAGCAGACCCCCGAAUUAUUGAGGCAUCAUGCAGUUCGACAAGUGGCAGGUCUGAACCAGCGGAGCCUUCAAAAGGUCUUGAGACCCAGCCAUGUAGCGACGAAUCAACUUUUACUGAUGAACAAACGGAUACGACUUUCAGUUUUGCGGUGCCAUCCGUGACACUCGCUUUAGCACCAAAUCGGCCGAAGCCUGUAUCACUCAUCCCCGAAAUCCAUCACCCGGAAGUACCUCCAAUUACUUCCGGCCAUCUUUCCGGAGUGAUAGCUGACCGAGUGAAGAGGGCCAGGAGAUCACUGCGCCAACUCAUAAACAUUCGUCCAUUCAAGAUCAAGCCGGUACCUCUUCCCGAGGCAAGAACAUUUUCACGUCGAAUGUGGGAAGUCUGUCCCAGAUAUUACCCACGUCAACUGGCUGCUGCAGAAAUAUUGAACGACCUUGCAGAGCGACUCGAAAGUGACUCGUCUAGCUCUGCACACAUCGUUCAAAACCCCAUUUGCACCCACGAUGAUACAGUGGCGUGCUGGCUGUUAGGAUACCAAGAAAUAAUCUGUUCCAUUCUCGUAGUCUUGAAUUAUGAAGUGGUCGAAAACGAGCGGCAAUGCCUUACUCUCCAGUACUUUGAAAGUAUUUUGCACAGCCGAUACGCACCCACUGAAGACAAUUUCGAAAAUUUUGAGGCUCUCACAUUCCUCUUUUGGCUUAUGGAGAGGCAUCGCUGUAUAGACAGUAUAUCUAUGGGACAUAUUCACGUUAUUGAGCCCCUAGGCGACAUUAAUCUCCUCGACAUGAUCAAAUUUGCAGGAAAACUUGUUACCGCUCGGAUAGGCGUUGGCUCGCAUCGUCUACCACAUCAACAUGGAAUAUUUGGUGGUAUAGAGCGAGUGUCUUUCAUUACGCUGUUUCAAGGCAUUGGUACUCUUCGUGAACUGUAUUUUUUUGGGCUUUACCUAGAUGGACACGAUCACAAAGAGAGAGAAAUUCUAGUGGUGAUUGGUAACAAUCAUUCACUGAGAACGCUACAUUUCCUUCGCUGUGUUUUUUCUCGGGAGCUGAUAUCAAACUUAGUUGCUAUAAUUGCAGAAAACGAGAAGCUUGAAGAUGUCCGGCUAGACAUGGAAACCAUUGAGCUGUUGCUUUUACAUGAUCAAGCAUUAAGUAGAUUACGUACAUCAAAAAGGAAUCUUAAGCGGCUUGCUGUUAGUCUUAAAGAUGGGCUGAGUAAUUUCUUGGGUGCAAUGGCAUUAACAAGUCACCUCACGCACCUGGAAAUACACAACCAUACCGAAAGUGGCACUUUAGAGGGACUUUCUGGUGCCCUGAGUCCUACUUCUUCCAUCAGGCACCUUACCAUUUCUCUUGAUUUGGUGAAUCCCCAAGUGAUUGGAGACAUGCACAUUGUCCGAAACUUCGCCAAAGCAAUUGAAAAUACUAAGUUAAAAGUGUUGACACUACCUAACUCCCGCUUCGCACUAAACGUCAUUAGGCUUCUUGGCGACGCACUGGCAGCCAACACAGAAAUGCGAGAGCUGGACCUUAGCAAGGCACAUCUGAGGUGCGACUUGGCACUUGAACUCGUGAAACGUGUACUGAACAGGAACAGGACCCUCUGGGAACUCAAACUGGGAGAGCUGCGCUCUUUUCUAGUGGCGGGUGAAAGCGCGGAGCGAAUUGUGUCUUCGCUUGAUGUGCUAGACUACAUCGUAAAAAACACUCCCGUUCUUGACGAGAAUGCAUCGCCAGAAUUCGGACCAGAAGCGAGCAAUGAAGGCCACGUCUGGAUAUCAAAAGUUUAUUAUGCGGCGGAAGCGCAGAAACUCCUGCAACUUCUGUGGAAGCGUGUGGUGUUCCGUAGAAUUGAGCUUGACUUCAGCCAUAAAUCCGAAAGCGAUCAGGAGUGGUGUGAGCUUCUUCUCAGCUAUAUGGCUGAAUACCAGACGCUUAAUAUAGAAGUGUUUUCAUUGAAGACAAACGAAUGCAUACAGGCCCACGAAAUUAUAGGUUUAGAAAAGCUAAUUGUUCAAGCCAGGAGUCUGACUGCCGUGACGGUAGAGCUCCCAUACGAGUCGUCAGAAGAGAUAUGGGUUGUGUUGCUCGGAGCCCUGGCUCUUAACAUUAAUGUCUCUGUAGUGAGGAUCUCUGGUUUCAUUCGAACACUUGGAACCCUUGCCUACUUCCGACACAUGUGUGCUACAAACCGAAGCCUACGACAGCUCGAAAUCAACAUAGAGCAGGGCAAGGAGAAGUUCAUUCAACAGCUACCUGAUCUGCUCUCGGAAUGUUACACUCUGACAGAAUUCCAGCUGACUGUAGGCAAAUCAAGGAGCUGGGAACCUGUUAAGUUCAUGAGAAAGCUACUUAGGAGAAAUCUCCUGAUGAUCAACAUGGGAGUGGCAGCCAUCAUAAGACAUAAUUCGGCUCCUCAUGGAGGUGGUCUAGCACCCAGUGAGUCGCUCGGUGGCCAAGCAAGUGCUUGGGCCGUGGACGCAGCAACAAAGCACCCUCAGCUUGAAAACAUGGUAGCGAGAGCGGCAGAUUGCUCUUUGGAAGUGGCGACUGGCAUGGUGCGAGACGCACGAUUGUCUGUGAAAAACAACAUACUAAGGCGUGCUACAGUCUUCAAAGGUGAGGUGCCAAUACAAGCCCACCGAACGCGGACGGCGGGGUUCCACAGACUUGACGUGGAAACAGUACAGAGAAUUUCACGUUAUCUGAGCUCGUUCGAUAUCAGAUGGUGUAAAUCAUCAUGCACGCCCCCAUCACCAAGCUUGAACCCUUUGUGGUUAAACGUUGCACGUUCAAAAUGGACGAACAAGAUGGACAAGCUAGUCAAAUAUCGCGAUGCAUAUUGUGAAAAAUCAAGACGAGCUGCGGCAUUCGCUGGUGCUCCACAGGCUGAUGUAGCUGCCAGCGGCCUGCAAGAGGUCCACGACCACGGUUUGGGCGAAGCGGUAGCAGUGCGCGAGGUUGUUGGCGACGGUCCGGAAGCCGCAGGCCAAGAUGGCGCAGCCCAUGGUGACGCAUUUGCUAUUAUAGAUGCCGUAGCCCAUCAAUUUCAAGACGGUGAACUCGCUGUCGAAGAGGUUGGUGAUCGAGUAGGCGACGAUCAAGUGAAUGUAGUCGAUGUUCUUGGCGCAGACCUAUUUAUUGAA